GUUUUGGAUCCGCGUUGAAAGACUCUACUCGUAAAGUAAACAAACACUAAACAGAGUGAACAAACAAACGCACGCUCUGUAUCAGAAGAUCGCAACGCAACGCAACACUCUCUCUGCGCCGCCAUGGACGAUCCCCCCUUGCAGAAGAUCGCGAUUUCCGGCCCCACAUUAGCCUCCCUCAUGGAGCGCUUCUCCUCCGCCCCCUCCGCCGUCGACGGCCUCCUCUACGGCCACGUCACCCACCUCCCCCCAACCCUCUCCGACGACUCUUCCUCCUCCUCCUCCUCCUCCACCCCCACCCUCCUCGCCACCGUCACCGGCUUCCUCUCCUCCCCCUCCUUCCACGACUCCUCCGGCACGGUCCUCCCCGCCUCCCUCCGCCCCCACCAGCAGCACUCCUCCCUCCUCGGGUGGUUCUCCGGGCGGCGCCGCUCCCCCCUCCGCCCUUCCAUGCGCGAGUUCUCCGUGACCUCCUCCCUCUCCUCUCUCUCCCAAUUCUCCUCCCAAAUCCAAAACCCACACUCCCCCAACCCACCCUCCCUCUUCCCCCCUUGCAUCUUCCUCCUCCUCGCUUCCCCUCCCUCCGAGCACGUGCCCUCGCACGUGCACACUCACGAGUACCGCGCCUUCCAGUUCCGCCCCGCGGCCCAGCGCUUCGAGCCCAGGUCCCUCGACGUCGUCAACAUUGGGCCCGCCUUCCGCGGCCACUACGGGGCCUUCAGCCCCAAUUCGCGCCUCCCGCCGCUCGAUUGCGCGCUCCGGGGCUCCCCGAUGAGCGACGGCGGCGAGGACGAGCGGCUGGGCCGGAUGAAGCGGGCCGCGAAGGACCAGAGGGAGCUCGACGAGUGUGCGCGAGGGUUCGACGUGGGGAGGCUCGGCAGAAUGAUGGGGUCUGAUGCUAGAAGUUACACCGAGGGUUUGGAGGAGUUGUAUCAGGAAAUGCUUGUUAAACUCGUGGAUUUGACCUCCUUGGUGGAGAGGAGUUCUGCCAAGGUUCUUGAGCAGGUGACAUUGUUACUCGAGAAAGUCAUAAUAGGAAGUUGAAACACAAAAUUUUGAGAUCUGCUGCCUCAGAAUAAUUAUCUUUAUCAUCGCUGGUGAUCCCUUCUUUUUUGUUCAGAUUUAUGAAAGAUCAUGUCCCAAAUUCUUGAUAAAACUUAAGUUACAACCUUCUAUUUGGAGACUUUUUCCUUGCAACUUCUUGCGUUCCUUUGUGAAAGAAAUCUGUUUAAUUCUUUAACAGUAGAUGUGCACUAACGCAGGUUUAAACUUAGUACAGGGCAGAGAAGAUUAGCAACGGACAUUUUCAGCGUUCUGUGCCUGAUCUGAAUCAUCAACAGUUUCUUCUGAGAACGCUGAUCUGAAUCAUCAACAGUUUCUUCUGGUGGUCACUUGCAGAAUGAGUUUGCCUGUUUGGACCUUUUGGUGGGCCUGUGAUGUAUGCAGUCCAGCUAUUGUAGAUGAUGUAUUUUAUUUUUUUGAUGACUCUUCAAGCUGAAGAAGGUAGUAAUUGUGCAGAGUAGUUGAAUGAUGUGGUCCUUUUCAAUACAAGACCGAUCUGAUGUUUUUUUCUCUCCACCCUGUGGCAUAUAUUUGCUCCAUGUAAUUAUAUGCCAACUCUAUUCUUAUUGUAUUUUCA